rnacentral:sRNA from 1 species
CUGAAGCGGAAGUGGAGGAAAGAUGGAGGACCAUCAGCACGUGCCCAUCGACAUCCAGACCAGCAAGCUGCUCGAUUGGCUGGUGGACAGAAGGCACUGCAGCCUGAAAUGGCAGAGUCUGGUGCUGACGAUCCGCGAGAAGAUCAAUGCUGCCAUCCAGGAUAUGCCAGAGAGCGAAGAGAUCGCCCAGCUGCUGUCUGGGUCCUACAUUCACUACUUUCACUGCCUAAGAAUCCUGGACCUUCUCAAAGGCACAGAGGCCUCCACGAAAAAUAUUUUUGGCCGAUACUCUUCACAGCGGAUGAAGGAUUGGCAGGAGAUUAUAGCCCUGUAUGAGAAGGACAACACCUACUUAGGUAAAGUGGCCUGGCCUGGGAGCCCUGGUAUCCAUGGGGAAGCCCACUCUCAGAGUUCUGAGAUACCAGGCUUAUAGGAGGCACAGUCUGUGAGUGGGAAGAGACUGGAGUAUAGAUGUUGCCUGUUUGUAGGUGGUAGAAUCAAUUGUUUUUGAUGGAGUUGAUUUUCCCUGGGUGGAGUGCUGGGGGAAGGAGGAGGUCCAGGCCGGUAGUGGGCAUUCACCAUGCCUCAGCGAGCAGGUGUGUGUGGGUCCUCCACCACUCACCUGUUGCUUAGCGGGAGUGUGCUGCCCCCACCCCUACGCCCGCACCCCCAUUCUGCAAGGCAGAAGAGGCACGGGUUUUCCUGGGAGCGAAUAUCAAGUGCCUGAGAGAGAGCAACUACAGGACUAAUUGUGUUUGGGUUGGGUUUAGUAUAAAUGAUAAUAAUGGCUAAUAUUUACUGAGCAUCUACUAAAUGCAAGGAAUUGUGCUUGGUGUGUCAUGUGGAUUCCCUCUUGCGUCUUCAUGAUAAAUGUUAUUGUCGCUGUUUUACAGAUGAGGGUUGGAUUAGAGGGGUUAAACAACUUGUCUUAGGCUCCACAGCUGGGAACAAGUGGGGCAGGGAAGCUGACUUCAUGCUCUUCACCACCACAAAGGGUGUGUGUGCAUCCUGGGGCAUGCCUGCCUCAUGUGGGGGUGUCCUGGGCUGAAUUUCCUGGGCACUUCUCAGUGGAACUCUCUAGCCUCCUGGUUCGGAAUGUCAACUAUGAGAUCCCCUCACUGAAGAAGCAGAUUGCCAAGUGCCAGCAGCUGCAGCAAGAAUACAGCCGCAAGGAGGAGGAGUGCCAGGCAGGGGCUGCCGAGAUGCGGGAGCAGUUCUACCACUCCUGCAAGCAGUAUGGUAUCAUGGGCGAAAAUGUCCGAGGAGAACUGCUGGCCCUGGUGAAGGACCUGCCGAGUCAGCUGGCUGAGAUUGGGGCAGCGGCUCAGCAGUCCCUGGGGGAAGCCAUUGACGUGUACCAGGCGUCUGUGGGGUUUGUGUGUGAGAGCCCCACAGAGCAGGUGUUGCCAAUGCUGCAGUUCGUGCAGAAGCGGGGAAACUCAACGGUGUACGAGUGGAGGACAGGGACAGAGCCCUCUGUGGUGGAGCGACCCCACCUCGAGGAGCUUCCGGAGCAGGUGGCAGAAGACGCGAUUGACUGGGGCGACUUUGGGGUAGAGGCAGUGUCUGAGGGGACUGACUCUGGCAUCUCUGCCGAGGCUGCUGGAAUCGACUGGGGCAUCUUCCCGGAAUCAGAUUCAAAGGACCCUGGAGGUGAUGGGAUAGACUGGGGAGACGAUGCUGUUGCUUUGCAGAUCACAGUGCUGGAAGCGGGAACCCAGGCUCCAGAAGGUGUUGCCAGGGGCCCAGAUGCCCUGACACUUCUUGAAUACACUGAGACCCGGAAUCAGUUCCUUGAUGAACUCAUGGAGCUUGAGAUCUUCUUAGCCCAGAGAGCAGUGGAGUUGAGUGAGGAGGCAGACGUCCUGUCUGUGAGCCAGUUCCAGCUGGCUCCAGCCAUCCUGCAGGGUCAGACCAAAGAGAAGACGGUUACCAUGGUGUCAGUGCUGGAGGAUCUGAUUGGCAAGCUUACCAGUCUUCAACUGCAACACCUGUUUAUGAUCCUGGCCUCACCAAGGUAUGUGGACCGAGUGACUGAAUUCCUCCAGCAAAAGCUGAAGCAGUCCCAGUUGCUGGCUUUGAAGAAAGAGCUGAUGGUGCAGAAGCAGCAGGAGGCACUUGAGGAGCAGGCAGCUCUGGAGCCUAAGCUGGACCUGCUGCUGGAGAAGACCAAGGAGCUGCAGAAGCUGAUUGAAGCUGACAUCUCCAAGAGGUACAGCGGGCGCCCUGUGAACCUGAUGGGAACCUCUCUGUGACACCCUCCGUGUUCUUGCCUGCCCAUCUUCUCCGCUUUUGGGAUGAAGAUGAUAGCCAGGGCUGUUGUUUUGGGGCCCUUCAAGGCAAAAGACCAGGCCGACUGGAAGACGGAAAGCCACAGGAAGGAAGCAGCACCUGAUGGUGAUCUUGGCACUCUCCAUGUUCUCUACAAGAAGCUGUGGUGAUUGGCCCUGUGGCCUGUCAGGUGAAAACCACAGCUUCUUCUAAUUAGUAUAGCAGACUUCAUAAAAGAGGAAAAAAC